GUCUGAGGCUGUGCCACGCUGAAUGAACCUGAUCUCCUCUGAUCUUGGGAAGCUAAGUAGGGUCAGGUCUGGUUAGUACUUAGAUAGGAGACUGCCUGGGAAUACCAGGUACUGUAGGCU
rnacentral:rRNA from 1 species